rnacentral:rRNA from 1 species
CCUACGGGUGGCAGCAGUGGGGAAUAUUGGACAAUGGGGGGAACCCUGAUCCAGCCAUGCCGCGUGUGUGAAGAAGGCCCUCGGGUUGUAAAGCACUUUCAGUGAGGAAGAACGCCUGGUGGUUAAUACCCAUCAGGAAAGACAUCACUCACAGAAGAAGCACCGGCUAACUCCGUGCCAGCAGCCGCGGUAAUACGGAGGGUGCGAGCGUUAAUCGGAAUUACUGGGCGUAAAGCGCGCGUAGGUGGCUUGAUAAGCCGGUUGUGAAAGCCCCGGGCUCAACCUGGGAACGGCAUCCGGAACUGUCAAGCUAGAGUGCAGGAGAGGAAGGUAGAAUUCCCAGUGUAGCGGUGAAAUGCGUAGAGAUCGGGAGGAAUACCAGUGGCGAAGGCGGCCCACUGGACUGACACUGACACUGAGGUGCGAAAGCGUGGGUAGCAAACAGGAUUAGAUACCCCAGUAGUC